GCUGGCGUAGCUCAACUGGUAGAGCACCUGUUUUGUAAGCAGGGGGCUACGGGUUCGAGUCCCGUCGCCAGCU
rnacentral:tRNA from 1 species